rnacentral:antisense_RNA from 7 species
UGUUAUGGCGGCUGCGCGUGGGAGAUCUUCGGAUCUGCCGGGUUCCUGAGACCGGUCUUGCACACCUGCGCACAGCUGCCACCACU